CAUGCAAGUCGUGGGGCAGCACAGGUAGCAAUACUGGGUGGCGACCGGCAAACGGGUGCGGAACACGUACGGAACCUUCCUUUAAGCGGGGGAUAGCCCAGGGAAACUUGGAUUAAUACCCCAUAAGAUCAUAGGGUGGCAUCACCUAGUGAUUAAAGCUACGGCACUUAAAGAUGGGCGUGCGGCUGAUUAGGUAGUUGGCGGGGUAACGGCCCACCAAGCCGACGAUCAGUAACUGGUGUGAGAGCACGACCAGUCACACGGGCACUGAGACACGGGCCCGACUCCUACGGGAGGCAGCAGUAAGGAAUAUUGGUCAAUGGACGCAAGUCUGAACCAGCCAUGCCGCGUGGAGGAUGAAGGCCCUCUGGGUUGUAAACUUCUUUUAUCUGGGAAGAAACCGGACUUUUCUAAGGCCGUUGACGGUACCAGAUGAAUAAGCACCGGCUAACUCCGUGCCAGCAGCCGCGGUAAUACGGAGGGUGCAAGCGUUAUCCGGAUUCACUGGGUUUAAAGGGUGCGUANGUGGGCAGGUAAGUCAGUGGUGAAAUCUCCGGGC
rnacentral:rRNA from 1 species